rnacentral:rRNA from 1 species
UCCUGGGGGCCACCCUCCUCGGAGGGUUUAGAGACGUCGAGCCUCUCGUAGAAGCUCGGUUCAGACCUCCACCCUUGAAUAAAUUACCUUUGUUGCUUUGGCAGGACGCCUCGUGCCAGCGGCUUCGGCUGCUGACUGCCUGCCAGAGGACCACAACUCUUGAAAUACAUGAUGUCUGAGUACUAUAUAAUAGUUAAAACUUUCAACAACGGAUCUCUUGGUUCUGGCAUCGAUGAAGAACGCAGCGAAAUGCGAUAAGUAAUGUGAAUUGCAGAAUUCAGUGAAUCAUCGAAUCUUUGAACGCACAUUGCGCCCUCUGGUAUUCCGGGGGGCAUGCCUGUUCGAGCGUCAUUAUAACCACUCAAGCUCUCGCUUGGUAUUGGGGUUCGCGGUUUCGCGGCCCCUAAACUCAGUGGCGGUGCCUGUCGGCUCUACGCGUAGUAAUACUCCUCGCGAUUGAGUCCGGUAGGUCUACUUGCCAGUAACCCCCAAUUUUUUUACAGGUUGACCUCGGAUCAGGUAGGGAUACCCGCUGAACUUAAGCAUAUCAAUAAGCGGAGGAAAAGAAACCAACAGGGAUUACCUCAGUAACGGCGAGUGAAGCGGUAACAGCUCAAAUUUGAAAGCUAGCUCUUUUAGGGUUCGCAUUGUAAUUUGUAGAAGAUGCUUCGGGUGUGGCCCCGGUCUAAGUUCCUUGGAACAGGACGUCAUAGAGGGUGAGAAUCCCGUAUGUGACUGGGUGCCUUCGCUCAUGUGAAGCUC